GCGACUUUUUCUGGUGUUAUUGGAGACUUUUGGAGACUAUGACGUGAAAGCACGUAUCGUUCCUACUCUUCUCAACGAGCAGCGAGUGCUGCCGUGGGCCCCACCCCCCACAUCCCAUCCCAAAGCACUCCCAGGCGGCCCAAAAUAAUGAAAGUACAAAAGAAUCUUCCAGGGUUCCGGGUUAGAACCUUCCAGGGUUCCGAGUAGAACCUUCCAGGGAUCCGGGUUAGAACCUUCCAGGGUUCCGGGUAGAACCCUUUAGUUUACACUAUUGACAUAUAAGGG
rnacentral:lncRNA from 1 species